AGAGAUUAUCAGUUACUUCACUUCAUGUUUGUUGUUAAGACACAAAGUUUUAAUCUUCUGAGAAAACAAAGAGAGAAAAACAAAAAAAAAAGAGCUGCGAAUCACUUGAAACUAGGUACCCCUCCAGCCGUGCCUGUGUGACGAAUGAGAUCUGCAUGAUGGGGAAGCAGAUGUCAGUGCACGAGAAGAAAUUGCCCACCUCAAUGUCAGAGGCAGGAAUUUGCGAGGCAUUCAAUGGAACUGACCUGAACAUGGGUCAUCCUGCUUCUGCUCAUCCUCCACACUGUGACUUCACCAUCUUCACUAAUAAAAGAUUGCUGGCCUUGUUUACAGACUAUCAAGAUCCCCACUUUAACCAGUGUAGUAUUCAAAGAUUUGAGGAUUUUUAAGUCUUCUGUCCUUGUAUUUUUACAAGAAUGUCAGGAUUUUGGUGCCCUGUCAAGACUUGUGUUAUAUUGUUUGUUGUCUACCACAUGUCCCCAUUGUUCCUCCCCUACUUAAUAGCUAGUUGUCAUCACCUAGUUUUUUACUUGUCACAUGUACAUAAGAGCACAGUGAAAUUCUUCGCAUAGCCCAGUGGGUCAGAAACAGGGGUCAAAGUGUCGGAUACAGCACCUUUGGAGCGUAGAGGGUUAAGGCCUCUGUGAACCCCUGACCUUCUGAGCAGUAACUCAACCCACUGUGUCUCAGUUCUGUAAUUUGGUUUUUCAUACUUAUCUAAAGUCAAUCCUUUUUUGUCUUGGCUCUUGGGUUCCCCCAUUCUCCUGUAACUUGUUCCAAGGGGGUCUGGCAAUAAUGCUGUUGACCUUAGUUCAAGUCUUAGUCAUGACAUUGAGUUGAGUAGUCAUUUCAGAAGCAUGAAUGUUAUUUAUUCUGACUUUUUUCUUUCAAAAUAUGUUUUGUUCUCUUAUCCAGAGUGACUUACAAAUAGGCUUUAUAAGUCUAUAACAGUAAAUACAUCCUAAUGCUGGUUAAUUAUGAUACAAUCUAGAAAUGCUAUGUAUUUUUUUUUUGAAGAUGUGCUAAUUUUUAAACCUCUCAAAGAGGUAGGUUGUUACAUGUUCUUUGAAGAAUGACUGUUCAGACGUCAUGUGAAAGUUCGUUCCACCACUUUGUUGCCAGAACAGAGAAGAUUCUGGAAGCUUGUCUUCCUUGUAUGCUAACAGAUGGUGGGACCAUUUGGGUUGAUGAUUAGAGGAAGCAUGGUGCAUUAUGGGGUGAGAGAAAAGCUGAGGAGUCGAGGAUUAGCUGGUCCAUCUUUGGUUUUGCAGGCAAGUGUCAGUAUUUUAUCCGGGCAGUAUAUUAUAUUGGGUGAAACGUUGAAAACAAGUCAUGUGGCUGCAUUCUGGAUUAGUUGUAGAGGUCGAAUGUCUUUCAUAGGCAAAGCUGCAGGAGCAAGUUACAGUAAUCCAGUUUUGACAUAACAAUGGGAACAGAAAUGUUCUGUGGACAGAAAUAGAUGAUUUUUCCUGAUGUUGUAAAGGAGAAAUCAGCAUGAGCUUGUUUAAAAACAUUUGAUUGCCAAUGGUUACCGCAAGGUUGCAUGCAGUGACCGAGGGUGAGACCAGAACCAUUAAUACACAUUAAAAUGCAGUCAGUCUGUGGUCUUUAUUGUGUCCAGCUGUCACACAUCCUUAGCUGUAUAGUAGACUCAAACCCGAACUAUUCAUUUUUAUUAAAAAAAACCCUCUGCAUCUGUGAUUUCUCCACAGCUGCUCACAGGAACAAAAAAAAUACUGCACCAUCACUUUAAUUCUUUUGAUGUUUACUUUUGAUGUUUUCUAUAAUUGUAUUUAAUUUCUUCAUAUUAAUCAUGUACAUAUUACUGAUGACUCUACACUUUGAAUGACGUAAAACAGAUUUUUUGUGAUCUCUGUAAUUGUCUUAGAAAAUCGAUCAAUAAAAUAAUUUA